UACGUAGGGUGCAAGCGUUGUCCGGAAUUAUUGGGCGUAAAGAGCUCGUAGGCGGUCUGUCGCGUCUGCUGUGAAAACUCAGGGCUUAACCCUGAGCUUGCAGUGGGUACGGGCAGACUAGAGUGCAGUAGGGGAGACUGGAAUUCCUGGUGUAGCGGUGAAAUGCGCAGAUAUCAGGAGGAACACCGGUGGCGAAGGCGGGUCUCUGGGCUGUAACUGACGCUGGAGGAGCGAAAGCGUGGGGAGCGAACAGG
rnacentral:rRNA from 1 species